UCGGGAUAGCUCAGUUGGUGGAG
rnacentral:tRNA from 1 species